UCGGUUUCAAUUUAGAUUUCAACCCAAUCGGAUUGAAUUGAUUUGCAAAAUUUAAUCCAAUCAGGUUCAAAAUGCAAACCCAAACCAAACCGAAUCGAAUUUAUUUUGGUUCAGUUCAGUUUGGGUUCACAUUUCGGAUUGGUUAUGUUUGAAAAUUCGGGUCUCAAUUUCGGUUUGGGUUCAAUUCGAGUUGCAACAGUUCCAUUUACCAAAAUUUUGCCAGUAACCAGCUGUUUAUAGUUCCAAAAUCUCAAAUCCCAGGCCAAAUCAAUGAAGAAUAAAACAAAUAUCAACUACAUCAUCAUCAUUUCAACAACUCCCGAUUGUUUAUUUUUCAACUUAUAAUCUCUAGAUGUCCUUGCUUUGCCAUGCCCGAUUGAAUUCUAAAAUAAAAAUGGCAUUAUAUACUGUCUUAAAUUAACAAUAUCUCCCCUAUUGUAUUCAUCACCAAAUCGCAAACAUAACCUUAAGGUUAUUUCCUUGUGCAGCUGACGACCGCAAAGGUUUCCCUGUGCGGCUGACGACAACGAAGGGAGGAGAAGGCAGCAAGCCAACGACGGCAGGUCGACAACAGCUGGAUCGAAACCGACAGUGGUGUAGCUGGAUCGAAACUGACAGUAGUGCAAGGAACGAGUAGAAGCUGCAACGCUGGUGCAUGUGAACGGGACUAACAAUGGCGGCAUCUUGCGGUUGUGUGUGAGUGAGACUGAGUGUUUUUGUGCCCUAUAGUGUGUUGAGCUUGCUUGGCUCAGGGUUGUGCGUGGCUGCUGCAGGCAGCACGGGGCAAAAGAGAAAUUUGGAAUUCAUGGAUUUUGUUUUGAAAUUUGAAUCUUCUGAUUUUGUCGUUCUGUCCUUUUGUAUAUGUGCAUAAUUUCUUCUUUUUUUUUUUAAAAAAAAAAAGUUUCUACUGCUAACCCGAUCAGGUUUCAAUUUAUAUUUGAGUUCAACCCGAACCAAAAUCAAAACUGGAC
rnacentral:lncRNA from 1 species